GUGCUUGAGCCCAAGACUAUGUUGUGUCCACAUAAUUCUGAGAUGAGGUCCCUGGCCUCAGAACUUGCCACCUCAUUGAGGAAGUAAGACUCACCCCAAUGAAACUAGCAAUACCAGACAUCAUAAAAUUAAGCGUGAACAACAGACACUACCAAAGUAUUCGAGCACCCUGCACUUCCUGUGUCCCUCCUAACACUUCCUGGAUUUGUUCCUGGCUGGAUGCUUCUACCUGGUGUGUUCUCAGUGUCGGACUCUGUGGAAUGAGGUGAUUGCCCAGCAAGAUUUCAACUAAUGCUUUCUGUUCAAAGAUCCUAUGCUUUCACUACAGACAUUCUGCUCCCAGAGACCUCUGAUUCUAUCACAAGCAAGGUUUUGGCUUCUUCAUCUUGCUCAAGCCACGGAAUAAAUGAAUCCCAUUUAGCCUGGAAUUUAAUAGUUGCAGACUCUGGGUUCAUCAUCAAAAACUUUGUAAAAGUACGGCCUAGGGCAUGAUUUGUUCCUUCCUUCUGUAAACUGGGGACAAUAACCCUACCUGGCUGAGCAUGGUGCCUCGCAUAUAGGAAAUGCUCAAUAAAUAUUAGCCUUUGUUAUUAAGCCUAACAUUCAAGGAAGAUUAU